UACGUNGGUCCCGAGCGUUGUCCGGAUUUAUUGGGCNUAAAGCGAGCGCAGGCGGUUAGAUAANUCUGAAGUUAAAGGCUGUGGCUUAACCAUAGUACGCUUUGGAAACUGUUUAACUUGAGUGCAGAAGGGGAGAGUGGAANUCCAUGUGUAGCGGUGAAAUGCGUAGAUAUAUGGAGGAAUACCGGUGGCGAAAGCGGCUCUCUGGUCUGUAACUGACGCUGAGGCUCGAAAGCGUGGGGAGCGAACAGGAUUAGAUACCCUGGUAGUCCACGCCGUAAACGAUGAGUGCUAGGUGUUAGGCCCUUUCCGGGGCUUAGUGCCGCAGCUAACGCAUUAAGCACUCCGCCUGGGGAGUACGACCGCAAGGUUGAAACUCAAAGGAAUUGACGGGGGCCCGCACAAGCGGUGGAGCAUGUGGUUUAAUUCGAAGCAACGCGAAGAACCUUACCAGGUCUUGACAUCCCGAUGCCCGCUCUAGAGAUAGAGUUUUACUUCGGUACAUCGGUGACAGGUGGUGCAUGGUUGUCGUCAGCUCGUGUCGUGAGAUGUUGGGUUAAGUCCCGCAACGAGCGCAACCCUUAUUGUUAGUUGCCAUCAUUCAGUUGGGCACUCUAGCGAGACUGCCGGUAAUAAACCGGAGGAAGGUGGGGAUGACGUCAAAUCAUCAUGCCCCUUAUGACCUGGGCUACACACGUGCUACAAUGGCUGGUACAACGAGUCGCAAGUCGGUGACGGCAAGCUAAUCUCUUAAAGCCAGUCUCAGUUCGGAUUGUAGGCUGCAACUCGCCUACAUGAAGUCGGAAUCGCUAGUAAUCGCGGAUCAGCACGCCGCGGUGAAUACGUUCCCGGGCCUUGUACACACCGCCCGUCACACCGCGAGAGUUUGUAACACCCGAAGUCGGUGAGGUAACCUUUUAGGAGCC
rnacentral:rRNA from 1 species